CUAAGUUAUGAGUACAAAUAACAAUGUAAUUGUUCAUUACCUUAAGUUUAAGAAUUAACUAUUCUGUAAUAAGGCUCUUUUGUUAGGGGUAUAUACUACGUGUAGGUGUAAGGGUUAGGACUUACAGUUUGCAUUUGAUGAGUAUGUUUAAGUAUAAGGAAUGUGAAAUAGACAUUUGCUGAGCUGAGCAAGUUUUACAGUCAAUGUGCAUUGUGGACACAUGUGAUGUAUAUAUAUUCUAUCGAUGAGGAGAGACACUCAAGUGAGAUAAAAGG
rnacentral:lncRNA from 1 species